rnacentral:rRNA from 1 species
UUGUCUUUCAAUUGAAGACUAGAACAAAAGAUUAAACAAUUUAAUUAAUUUAUUAUUAUUUUAAUUUAUUUUAAAUAUAAAAAAACAUUUAUAAUCAAGGAAGACGACAAGACCCUAUUAAACUUAACUUAAGUUUAACUGGGGUAGUUAAUCAAUUAAUACUUUUAUAAAAAUAUAAAAACAAAAGAUCCAAUAAAAUUGAUUUUAUAAUCAAGUUACUAUAGGGAUAACAGCGUUAUAUAUAUUUAAAGAUCUCAUUUAAAUAAAAAUUACGACCUCGAUGUUGAAUUAAUAUCCUAAUUACUGCAAUAAAUAAAUAAAGGAGCCCGUUCGACUUUUAAAAAAUUACA